AUGCUGCCUGGUCAUGGCUACGACACACGACGCAUCUUCGACGCUGUGGUCAUGGAGGCUCGGCAGCGCCUUGCCGGAUGUGAAACUCUGAGUGGUAGGUAUGAGAAGUUGAUCACAGGCUUGCAUGACGACGAUGGUACAAUCCUAUAUAAGGGAGCCGAGCUUGGGAGGCAACUUAGAGAUAAUGUUCCUGAUCAAGGACAGCGUUGGAAGGUGCUGGCUGACUUUUGGGCAGAGUUCAUACUCUUCCUGGCGCCAUCGGACAAUGCGGACAUCCAUGCAGAGAUGCUGGCCACCGGCGGGGAGCUCAUGACCCAUCUUUGGGCACUUCUCACUCAUGCUGGUAUUCUGGGGCGGCCCUCUUCCUCCUCUGGGAUAGACCAUCUGGGAGGGUUUAAUGGUACCACUGCACAAGAGUCUGUGGUUUGA
rnacentral:rRNA from 1 species